rnacentral:rRNA from 1 species
AUGAUGGGCUUGCUUGGAGAUGCACGGUGUUGCGAUCCAAGAAGUUUUCCGUAUGUGAAGACUGAUGUGACAAAUGCAAGAGCAAACUUGCGAAAGGGCCCGUCAGAGCGUGAUUUGGAGCUCACCAUCGAGUACUUUAAGAGAAGACAAGUGGAGAACCCCAACUUCUUUUUUUCCAAACUAGAAGAAGAUGGAUCUGUUAGGGUGCUUUUGUGGGUUGAUGGAAGAACAAGGGACUUGUAUCCAAAGUACAAGAAUUGUGUGUGUUUUGACACCACAUUCUGCACAAAUCACUACAACCUUCCCUUUGCGCCGAUUGUUGGCAUUAACAACCAUACACACACCAUUUGUUUAGCAUGUGCUUUGCUACCUGAUGAGACCAUUGGAACUUUCAAGUGGGUGUUCCAACAAUGGAUGUUGGCAAUGAAUAACGAACAUCCAUUGAACAUAAUGACUGAUCAAGACCAGGCAAUGGCUACAACCAUCUCAAUGGUAUUCCCAGAUUCAACACAUAUAUGUUGCAAGUGGCACGUCUUCCGGGUUGCAAGAACAAAGCUAGUGAAGAUGUUGGGCAAGGAUGAGCCUUUUGCCAAUGCAUUCUAUGGUUGCAUCAAUGGUUUAGAUACCGUUGAGGAGUUUGAAGGAAGGUGGCAGCAGAUGGUCGAGUUAUUUGGUGUGGCUGAUAAGAAACACCUCAAAAACAUGUGGAACACCAGGGAGAUGUGGGUUCCUGUGUACUUUAGGCAUAAGCUCUUCCCAUUCACGGGCACAACGGGGUGGUCUGAGGGCCUGAAUUCCUACUUCAAGACUUGA